GCUGGGUUGGUCUAGUGGUAGGACAUCUGUCUCACAAGGAGCUGUUCCUAACAGUAUCUAUGAGCACAGAAGAUCGUGGGAUCAAACCCCACACCUAGUA